AGUUAAGCAGCUUUACGUAAAGCAUUUGUUUUGAAAGCAAAAGACAGAGGUUAAACUCCUCUAUUAACUU
rnacentral:tRNA from 1 species